AUACUACUUUUUGUCUUAUCUCCCGCUUAAAAUGGAGCAUCCAUCUUGGGCCUCCAGUGACCUGAUGAACUUGUGGUACUGGGUGACCCGGAUGAUGUACCCAAGAUGAAUAUCUGCCUCGCAAGUUGAAUAUGGGUGCUUCAGUGGCAGCCAAGGCUGAUAUUGGAACACCUGAGCUCUGCUCUUGCAGACGGGAAGAUGCAACUGGUUCCAUGCCCUAACGGCUCACAGGUAGAUCUGG